GACGAGGCACUACGGUGCUGAAGCAACAAAUGCCCUGCUUCCAGGAAAAGCCUCUAAGCAUCAGGUAACACGAAAUCGUACCCCAAACCGACACAGGUGGUCAGGUAGAGAAUACCAAGGCGCUUGAGAGAACUCGGGUGAAGGAACUAGGCAAAAUGGUGCCGUAACUUCGGGAGAAGGCACGCUGACACGUAGGUGAAGUGAUUUACUCAUGGAGCUGAAGUCAGUCGAAGAUACCAGCUGGCUGCAACUGUUUAUUAAAAACACAGCACUGUGCAAACACGAAAGUGGACGUAUACGGUGUGACGCCUGCCCGGUGCCGGAAGGUUAAUUGAUGGGGUCAGCGUAAGCGAAGCUCCUGAUCGAAGCCCCGGUAAACGGCGGCCGUAACUAUAACGGUCCUAAGGUAGCGAAAUUCCUUGUCGGGUAAGUUCCGACCUGCACGAAUGGCGUAAUGAUGGCCAGGCUGUCUCCACCCGAGACUCAGUGAAAUUGAACUCGCUGUGAAGAUGCAGUGUACCCGCGGCAAGACGGAAAGACCCCGUGAACCUUUACUAUAGCUUGACACUGAACAUUGAGCCUUGAUGUGUAGGAUAGGUGGGAGGCUUUGAAGUGUGGACGCCAGUCUGCAUGGAGCCGACCUUGAAAUACCACCCUUUAAUGUUUGAUGUUCUAACGUGGACCCGUAAUCCGGGUUGCGGACAGUGUCUGGUGGGUAGUUUGACUGGGGCGGUCUCCUCCUAAAGAGUAACGGAGGAGCACGAAGGUUGGCUAAUCCUGGUCGGACAUCAGGAGGUUAGUGCAAUGGCAUAAGCCAGCUUGACUGCGAGCGUGACGGCGCGAGCAGGUGCGAAAGCAGGUCAUAGUGAUCCGGUGGUUCUGAAUGGAAGGGCCAUCGCUCAACGGAUAAAAGGUACUCCGGGGAUAACAGGCUGAUACCGCCCAAGAGUUCAUAUCGACGGCGGUGUUUGGCACCUCGAUGUCGGCUCAUCACAUCCUGGGGCUGAAGUAGGUCCCAAGGGUAUGGCUGUUCGCCAUUUAAAGUGGUACGCGAGCUGGGUUUAGAACGUCGUGAGACAGUUCGGUCCCUAUCUGCCGUGGGCGCUGGAGAACUGAGGGGGGCUGCUCCUAGUACGAGAGGACCGGAGUGGACGCAUCACUGGUGUUCGGGUUGUCAUGCCAAUGGCACUGCCCGGUAGCUAAAUGCGGAAGAGAUAAGUGCUGAAAGCAUCUAAGCACGAAACUUGCCCCGAGAUGAGUUCUCCCUGAGACUUAGAGUCUCCUGAAGGAACGUUGAAGACGACGACGUUGAUAGGCCGGGUGUGUAAGCGCAGCGAUGCGUUGAGCUAACCGGUACUAAUGAACCGUGAGGCUUAACCUUACA
rnacentral:rRNA from 3 species